rnacentral:tRNA from 1 species
GCCCAGGUGGUGGAAUUGGCAGACACGGCCGGCUCAAACCCGGCUGCCGUAAGGCGUUGCGGGUUCGACUCCCGCCCUGGGCACCA